rnacentral:rRNA from 1 species
UCCGUAGGGUGCGAGCGUUGUCCGGAAUUAUUGGGCGUAAAGAGCUCGUAGGCGGUCUGUCGCGUCUGCUGUGAAAUCCCGAGGCUCAACCUCGGGUCUGCAGUGGGUACGGGCAGACUAGAGUGCGGUAGGGGAGAAUGGAACUCCUGGUGUAGCGGUGGAAUGCGCAGAUAUCAGGAGGAACACCGAUGGCGAAGGCAGGUCUCUGGGCCACUACUGACGCUGAGGUGCGAAAGCGUGGGGAGCAAACAGG